CUGACUCAGCUCCGCUCCCUCUGCAGUCACUUCCUGUUUGUGCUGUAUUUAAGCAAGAGCUCAGGCCAUGCCUCCUUGCGAAGUGUUGCCGGUUCACCUGCAUUACCAAGCGUUAGUCCAAGAGACUUUCAUGACUGACUGCCUGUGUAUGACCCUGCCUGCCUGCCUUGAUCAAAGAGGAAAAGUGAUGGAUGGCACUGAGAGAGAUUGGAUGCAUAAGAUGGGCGAGGUGCUGGACUCCAUGACCACUGUUUGGCAGAAGAGCGGCGUUGGUGCCCAGAAAUGGAAUUUCAGUGAAUUUUGAUGACUCAAAGUUCACUUUCCCAAGACAAAUAUACUUGAGGGGCGAAACCUCCCUUGGUACAACACCUCUUUUGACUUCAUCUGCUAUAUUUUUGGUUUGAUGGAUAACAUGUGUCUUUUGUUCACUUUCUGUGCAUGCACUGCACCAUCAGUGUUUACAUGAAGCGGUAGUAUUAGCAAAACAAAUCUAAUCAUAUUACACAGGGAAGAGUGUAUCUUUGCUGACAGAUAUUUAAUUACACACUCCGUAGUGCUUUUGUCAUUUAAAAUAGGUGUUAUCUCUCUGCUGAGCUGCUGUACAAUGUCAGAGGUCUUUACAAGUGAGUGAAAAUGUCCUCUGCUUUAUUCAGCAUAAGAUUUAAUAUAAAUUUAUCUUCCCUCAAAAAAGAAGGCAUUUCCAUUACAGGAUAAAAUCCAUAUUGAGUCUCAAGUCUGACACUCACGAGACAUCCCUCGAGUUAGGCUGACCUGAGAGAAUGUGUGAAGUGCAAGCGAAUCGAUUAAAACAUUUGUGUGUGUCAUAAUCGUAACUGUUGGCUUAGAGAUAUCAAUGUCAUCCCGUUGCCACGUGGGGAAUUUAAGACAUCUUUUCCUGUGAAUUUAUUCUGACAUGGAGGUGACACCGCCAUAUAUAAAGCUUCUAUUAAUAAAUUUCCGACAGCCAAACAUACUCCUCAGGGGUUUACUUGGCUUUUUUUUUAAGAUGCAAGGUUGUUGUAAUGCAUGUGUUGCUAAAAUUAUUUUUACAGACGUUUAUUUGUAGGUAACAGUAUGUAGAAAACCGUCCAAACCUUCAUCUGAAGGACCACCCUUUCUAUGGCAGUAAAUCCAAAGGCGUUUGGCUGCUGAUGGAGUUCUGGGGGACGGCAGCGAUUGCACCUCACUUUAUGAGUGAUUUAGGACGAGCUUUUCCCUCAAUGUUUUAGUCAUUACUCUUAAUCACACACUUCAGCCAUUCCGUCCGCUUCCGUCGCCCAUUUCCUCUGUCUUCAGGCUGACAUUGACGGAUCACAGACGCCCGCUGCAUCUCCUCUGAGCCAGACAAGAAUAUUAUCACUGCAUUUUUUUCCCCCCUCCAUCGAAAAGAAAAGCCUGCAGACUUUCUGUUUUUGUUUAUUUAUUUAUUUAUUACUUUGUUUAUUUUUUUCUGCCAUUGCAGUUGAAUUUAAAGCAAUUGAAAAUCAACUGCGGCAAGCACAAAAUGCAGCAGAAGUUUGUACAUCAACUGUCGCAUGCCACAUGAAUGUAAACUGUUCUCUAGCUCAUGAUAAGGAUUUUCCGCUCAGCAGAAAAUCGCAAUUAAUCCUCAAGUACUGCUCAUGGAAAUCCUAGCGAAUGUCAAGAAACAUUAAGGCUUCUUCGCCAAAAAUGAAUUCCAAUAUAUUCUGCAAGGAGCAAAUGUCAUACAGCCAUCAUUACAGGGCUAAAGAGUCGGCAGUAUUCCGAGAUCAUACACAGAUCUGUUAUCACACUUGAGGGGUAGACAUGUAGGUGACACACAGUUCAUGCGACAGAGCCCUCGGGGACAGACUGGCUUUCCGCUGAGCGUUUGACACCUUUUCCAUAUGCAAGCGCAGGGCCAGGCUGAAGCUGGAUGGAUCUGCAUUAUUAGGCUGGAAAUGGGGGUCAGUGUGUUUGACACAAGUGCGUCUCCUCUUGCUAACAGCUGGCCUUGACUACAUUACCCACAUCAAUCCACACGCUGCCACAGUCGAGAUCAAGGGCUGCUAGAUUCUGAUAUCCUGAGAGGCAGAGAACAUUUGCUGUUUUAGAUUCACUGUUUCUCAUUGCCAAACGGAUACGGCUGGGAAUCUGGUGCUCUUUCGAGUUUUCUGUCAUACAAAAAUAAACAAUAAACUGUAUUUUGGACUCUCGGCACAGCAUCGAAAAGAGUAUAUUUACAAGCGUAUGGUUUGUUUUACUUAAAAAUGUAAUGGAUUGAAUCAUUGUUGAAUAAAUGAAUGAAUAGCA
rnacentral:lncRNA from 1 species